GCUGCCGGACUCCGGUUGCCAGCGGAAGCAGUCGCAGGGGUGAGGUCGCCAGUGCCCCGACCGUCGUCCCCAGCAAGGGGCAACAACGCCUGAGGCCUGCUCUCCGGCCGUCUUCCCCGCAGCGAGGGGUGGCACGGAGCUGCAGCAGCAGAAAGGGCAUGGACGCCAGGGCCCUGGCGUGGGCGUGGCUGCCGGGGUUCGGCCGCCGGCAUAGGCAGCUGCGGCAGGGUUGAGGCCUCCUCAUGGUUGUGGGGCAGGAAGAGGGGCAACUCACUUAGGGAUGCAGCAUCAGUAGCUUAUCCUCAGGUGUUUGCUCCUCACCAUGGAUUGGCCAUAAGAAAAACAUUUGCUGCUGGAAUGUACGUGCUUACCUCAAAGUCCGCUGUUGAAGAAAUUGAAUGAAGAUGGUCUGCAAUGAAUCCAGCUGAGAUGGAUGCUGCUUCUGGGAGAAGAGUACAUUUCUGGAACUUCUGUUGUCUCUGGAACCAAUGAUAACAUGAAUGUUAUUUGAUAAUUUAUUGUUUCUAUUACCAUGGCAUGAAUGUAAAUCUGAAAUUGUAUUUGAUUGGUUGAUAAAUUUUGUAUGUAUUGUAGGCUGAAUUGAUCAUUCUGAUAAAUGGGAUGAAUUUG